AACGAACGCUGGCGGCAUGCCUAACACAUGCAAGUCGAACGAGACCUUCGGGUCUAGUGGCGCACGGGUGCGUAACGCGUGGGAACCUGCCCUUAGGUUCGGAAUAACUCCCCGAAAGGGGUGCUAAUACCGGUUAAUGUCUUCGGACCAAAGAUUUAUCGCCUUUGGAUGGGCCCGCGUUGGAUUAGCUAGUUGGUAGGGUAAAAGCCUACCAAGGCGACGAUCCAUAGCUGGUCGGAGAGGAUGAUCAGCCACACUGGGACUGAGACACGGCCCAGACUCCUACGGGAGGCAGCAGUGGGGAAUAUUGGACAAUGGGCGAAAGCCUGAUCCAGCAAUGCCGCGUGAGUGAUGAAGGCCUUAGGGUUGUAAAGCUCUUUUACCCGGGAUGAUAAUGACAGUACCGGGAGAAUAAGCUCCGGCUAACUCCGUG
rnacentral:rRNA from 1 species